rnacentral:sRNA from 1 species
AACAUAUGAUCUGUGCUGCUGUUGGUGCACGAGGACAGGAGGGAAAUAAGCUGGAAGCCAUGGAUGUGGAGAGUCUGGCUUCAAGAUGGAGCUUGUUUACCUGCAGGGCCCCAUGCAGAACCUCAUGAGACGUGACUUCAGAGGCCUCCUCUCUGACAGGUGAGGGAGGCGUCAGCUCUUCAGAGAGAGAGGCUGCCUUGCCUGGGGACACACAGCUAGCCAGUGGCCGAAGCAGCAGUGGAUGCAGUUGUCCUGAUGCAUAGUUCAAGAACCUUUUUUUUUUUUUUCCACAUGUGAAAACAUCUAUUGGGGAAAUGGAAAAAACAUUUGACCUCACAUUCCUCAUACCUGACAUGCCUGGCUCCUUUCUGUGGAGAAGAUCCUGAGAGGAACCACAACUUGACAAAACCAAAAUAUGGUGGUGAGCCAGCUUCAAUUUUGCAGAAAGUGACUUGGAAAGAACUGAUUACCUGAAUGACUGUGAGGAUCAAAGUUGUCCCACUGACCAGGCUGUAAACUUUGGAACUGAUAAGUGAGAGAGAUAAGGUAAACUUCUUUACCUUC